GUGCAGCAGUCGAGAAACCUUCACAAUGCACGAAAGUGUGAUGAGGGUACUCCGAGUGCGCAUACAUUGUAUGUGCUUUUCUGCAGCGUAAAUAGUUGCAGGAAUAAGGGCUGGGCAAGACCGGUGCCAGCCGCCGCGGUAACACCGGCAGCCCUAGUGGUGGCCGCUUUUAUUGGGCCUAAAGCGUCCGUAGCCGGACAGGCGAGUCUUUGGGUAAAUCCUACGUCUUAAGCGUGGGAAUUCUAAAGAUACUACCUGUCUUGAGGCCGGGAGAGGCUGGAGGUACUCCUGGGGUAGGGGUAAAAUCCUAUAAUCCUGGGGGGACCACCGAUGGCGAAGGCAUCCAGCUGGAACGGGCCUGACGGUGAGGGACGAAACCCAGGGGAGCGAGCCGGAUUAGAUACCCUCGUAGUCC
rnacentral:rRNA from 1 species